UUCUUAUCCAGAGUGGCAGAGGGACUGGCCCUAUGAUGCCCGGCAACCAUCAAACUAAGUUUGAACGGUGCUAAUUCCUGCGAGGUGUUAAACCUUGAUAGAUGAGAG
rnacentral:ncRNA from 1 species